ACAGACCAGAGCGCAUGCAAGCUACAGCGACAAUGGAGGCCUACAUGGACGAGAGAUUGUGUGAAGAAGUUAGAAAGUAUACAAGAAUACAAAGAUUUUUACAUGGGUUGUAAGUUAUGGCGAGAGAUUGCUCAAAACUGCGCAUGCGUCGAACGCCUGUGUAUGCGUACGAGUCAAAUGAAGUAUAUUCUUCAUACUUCAAGUAUAUACUUUCCAAGGCUGUGCGCGUACACGUAAAAAAGCAGUAUACCCAGGCCUUGAGUGUCAUGUUAGUUGUCAUAACAAGCAAGAAAAGUUGUCAUGGAGCAGCUAAACCUGAACCUCCGGGGAAUCACCCGUUUAAAAAAAAUGCAGAACAGAGGCAACGACAGAGCUCGUAACUGGCUUGGCUUUUCGGUGAUGGCGAGGAACUGCAGGAUUUGAAAUGUUGUAAAAGUGACGUGGAGAUGGCGUUUUAUUACUCAACAGCAAUGAUGAAUAAUCUGAGAGUGACAUUACUGUCCUGUGGUGGAAUCCAUCAGGAGGACUAGCAUUUGACCCCAUCUGACCUUCACUUCCUCCAGCUCCAUCUGCCCAGAGGUCAGCAGUGCAUGAUCGCACAUGAGAGAAAAAUCAAGUGAGAGACUGGAGGCCAGAGAAACUUUACACUGCUGUUGUGAGACUGUUAUCAGUGCUCAUGUCGGCAGGAACUGCAUCUAAACCCUGCUGUAAGACUUCAAUAUAAAUCUACUACAACAUGAAGUUCUCCACAUGAGAUCCGACACAUUUACAUCUACAUUAUUGAGUCAUCUAGCAAACGCUUUUAUCCAAAGUGACUUGCAAAUGAUGAACAUCACAAGCAAAUCAAAGACCUAGAUCCAGAUGUCCUUUGCUUUCAGCCCAGUCUGUCUGCCAGCGGAGGCAAGAGAGCCGUCCUGGCAAGAAGAGACUGACAGAUGAAAGAGAACGAAUAGAGACAGAGAGUAAUGAAGCAAGGGGGAAAGAGGAGAAGAGAGAGGUAUGAAGAUAGAUGUAUAUACAGAGUGAGAGAGUAAGGAGAGAUUUUUUUUCUUUUUUCCCUGAUGUCUUUAUUGGCAGUUCACCCUGGGAGCUCUUCAUUGCUACUUGAGUCUAGAGAGACAAGAGCAAAUGUGCUACAUGUCCAUUUCUUCAUCCUCUCUCUCUUACACUCUGCCAAACUGUUCCGUUUCAUUUCAGUUUUCCCUUGCACCUGUGUGGAGAUGUAAGGUGACCAGAUUUCUGAAAUAAAAACCAGGGACAUUUCUAGUUCAGUGGUCAAUAUAUUAGUGAAAUUAUGAAUGUAGUUAUCUGUGAAUUAAAAAGAGGUGCAUCUGUUAAACUAUGGCAUAUCAUAUCUGUCAUCUGCGCACUGACUUACUACACUGAAUUAAUGUCACUAAAAUAAAUCGAUAAUAACAUGCAGCGUCAAAAUAUUUGCGUAUAUUGCACACAUCUAAUGCAAUAAAGAAAAAACAAAACAUAACUUUUGAGAUGUUAUGUGGCAAUAUGUAUAACAGACUCUUCUGUACUACAGUUUAAAUGUUUGGGGUCGAUAAGAUUUUAUAAUAUUUUGGUCUCUUAUGCUCAACAAGGCUGCAUUUAUUUGAUCAAAAA